rnacentral:lncRNA from 1 species
AUUGUGUCAACAUGUAUAAUAUCAUGGGGUAAAGUCUCUAUUUGUCCUCGGGGUUGUAUGGAGAUCUUGAUUUGUAAUCGCUGAACCUCUUGUUUGAGAUCUAUUCGUUAUUAAUCAUAUUUUGAUGAUGCUCUUUCAUGUAAUGACUGGACAAUGCUACUUUGGGUUGCUUAUUUGCUUACCUAGAAUGAUCAUCGUGCCGUGUUCUUAUCGCCCAAUAGUUGAGUACCCUUGUGUAGCGACAACAUGCGAGAGGGAAAGUAUCGGGCAUGGUUCACAUCCACUCACGAUAACACUUAGAUCAAGUUCUUUUAUGUAUGGCGAUUGCAUCUACAAGUGAUCUUAGAUCCCUAGCACAAGCGUUUUAUCUAUCUUGUUCACACCUUACUCUCUAUGUACUUGAUCUAGAUUGCUAAGUUCAUUUGGUUAGUACAAUCCCAUCCAAUACAAAGAGCUUUCAGUUACAUUAAUU